rnacentral:rRNA from 1 species
UACAGAGGUCUCAAGCGUUGUUCGGAUUCAUUGGGCGUAAAGGGUGCGUAGGUGGCGCCGUAAGUCAGGUGUGAAAUUUCGGAGCUUAACUCCGAAACUGCACUUGAUACUGCGGUGCUCGAGUACUGGAGAGGAGAUUGGAAUUUACGGUGUAGCAGUGAAAUGCGUAGAUAUCGUAAGGAAGACCAGUGGCGAAGGCGAAUCUCUGGACAGUUACUGACACUGAGGCACGAAGGCCAGGGGAGCAAACGGG